rnacentral:snRNA from 1 species
CACGAAUCUCUCUCUCUUUCA